GGGUACGGUUGGCUGGUAUGAAAUCAGAAAUUCAUGUUUUGCAGGAAGAAUGUGAAUUAAGAAAGCAAGAUUUUGAUAAGCUUCUAGAAAAAGCUAUUGAGUCUGACAUUCUCAACAUCACCUUACAGACAUCUUCCCAAGAUCUUGAAGGAAAGGGCUCUUCUUUGCUGGGUGAGUAUCAGAAGCUUUUUGAAGCAUCUACAUUUUUUAAAACUUUAAUUUCUGAUUUAAAGCAGAAGAAUGUUGAACAAAAAAUGGAAAUGACAUCCUUGUUUGAUCAAGUUAGUAUUCUGAGAAAUGGGAUAUUCAAGUUGCUGAAGGCUCUUGAUAUUGUUCCAAACCAUGCAUGUCAGGACAGGA
rnacentral:misc_RNA from 1 species